GAUGAACGCUGGCGGCGUGCCUAAUACAUGCAAGUCGAGCGAACAGACGAGGAGCUUGCUCCUCUGACGUUAGCGGCGGACGGGUGAGUAACACGUGGAUAACCUACCUAUAAGACUGGGAUAACUUCGGGAAACCGGAGCUAAUACCGGAUAACAUGUUGAACCGCAGGGUUCAACAGUGAAAGACGGUUUUGCUGUCACUUAUAGAUGGAUCCGCGUCGCAUUAGCUAGUUGGUAAGGUAACGGCUUACCAAGGCAACGAUGCGUAGCCGACCUGAGAGGGUGAUCGGCCACACUGGAACUGAGACACGGUCCAGACUCCUACGGGAGGCAGCAGUAGGGAAUCUUCCGCAAUGGGCGAAAGCCUGACGGAGCAACGCCGCGUGAGUGAAGAAGGUCUUCGGAUCGUAAAACUCUGUUAUUAGGGAAGAACAAAUGUGUAAGUAACUAUGCACGUCUUGACGGUACCUAAUCAGAAAGCCACGGCUAACUACGUG
rnacentral:rRNA from 1 species